UCAGAUUGAAACGCUGGCGGCAUGCUUUACACAUGCAAGUCGAACGGUAACAGGUCUUCGGAUGCUGACGAGUGGCGAACGGGUGAGUAAUACAUCGGAACGUGCCUAGUAGUGGGGGAUAACUACUCGAAAGAGUAGCUAAUACCGCAUGAGAUCUACGGAUGAAAGCAGGGGACCUUCGGGCCUUGUGCUACUAGAGCGGCUGAUGGCAGAUUAGGUAGUUGGUGGGGUAAAGGCUUACCAAGCCUGCGAUCUGUAGCUGGUCUGAGAGGACGACCAGCCACACUGGGACUGAGACACGGCCCAGACUCCUACGGGAGGCAGCAGUGGGGAAUUUUGGACAAUGGGCGAAAGCCUGAUCCAGCAAUGCCGCGUGCAGGAUGAAGGCCCUCGGGUUGUAAACUGCUUUUGUACGGAACGAAAAGCUCUGGGCUAAUACCCCGGAGUCAUGACGGUACCGUAAGAAUAAGCACCGGCUAACUACGUGCCAGCAGCCGCGGUAAUACGUAGGGUGCAAGCGUUAAUCGGAAUUACUGGGCGUAAAGCGUGCGCAGGCGGUUUUGUAAGACAGUGGUGAAAUCCCCGGGCUCAACCUGGGAACUGCCAUUGUGACUGCAAAGCUAGAGUGCGGCAGAGGGGGAUGGAAUUCCGCGUGUAGCAGUGAAAUGCGUAGAUAUGCGGAGGAACACCGAUGGCGAAGGCAAUCCCCUGGGCCUG
rnacentral:rRNA from 1 species